CCCCUAGAUGUUCUGGGCCGCACGCGCGCUACACUGAACAGUUCAACAAGUCUUAACCUUGGCCGAUAGGUCUGGGUAAUCUUUGAACGCUGUUCGUGAUUGGGAUAGACCUUUGCAAUUAUGGGUCUUCAACGAGGAAUUCCUAGUAAACGCAACUCAUCAGCUUGCAUUGAUUACGUCCCUGCCCUUUGUACACACCGCCCGUCGCACCUACCGAUUGAAUGGUCCGGUGAAAUCUCGGGACGGCGGCUUGGUCGCUUGCGUCCGACUGCUGAAACUUGAUUAAACCAUAUCAUUUAGAGGAAGGUGAAGUCGUAACA
rnacentral:rRNA from 1 species